GACGAACGCUGGCGGCGUGCCUAAUACAUGCAAGUAGAACGCACAGUUUAUACCGUAGCUUGCUACACCAUAAACUGUGAGUUGCGAACGGGUGAGUAACGCGUAGGUAACCUGCCUGGUAGCGGGGGAUAACUAUUGGAAACGAUAGCUAAUACCGCAUAAUAUUGAUUAUUGCAUGAUAAUUGAUUGAAAGAUGCUAUUGCAUCACUACCAGAUGGACCUGCGUUGUAUUAGCUAGUAGGUGAGGUAACGGCUCACCUAGGCGACGAUACAUAGCCGACCUGAGAGGGGGAUCGGCCACACUGGGACUGAGACACGGCCCAGACUCCUACGGGAGGCAGCAGUAGGGAAUCUUCGGCAAUGGACGAAAGGCUGACCGAGCAACGCCGCGUGAGUGAAGAAGGGUUUCGGAUCGUAAAGCUCUGUUGUAAGAGAAGAACGGGUGUGAGAGUGGAAAGUUCACACUGUGACGGUAUCUUACCAGAAAGGGACGGCUAACUACGUG
rnacentral:rRNA from 1 species